rnacentral:rRNA from 1 species
GUUGAUUAUGGCUCAGGAUGAACGCUAGCUACAGGCUUAACACAUGCAAGUCGAGGGCAGCAUAUCGAAGCUUGCUUGAUAGAUGGCGACCGGCGCACGGGUGAGUAACGCGUAUCCAACCUUCCCAUCACUCAGGGAUAGCCCGCCGAAAGGCGAAUUAAUACCUGAUGGUCUCCUUCGCGGACAUCUAACGAGGAGUAAAGAUUUAUUGGUGAUGGAUGGGGAUGCGUCUGAUUAGGUAGUAGGCGGGGUAACGGCCCACCUAGCCGACGAUCAGUAGGGUUCUGAGAGGAAGGUCCCCCACAUUGGAACUGAGACACGGUCCAAACUCCUACGGGAGGCAGCAGUGAGGAAUAUUGGUCAAUGGACGGAAGUCUGAACCAGCCAAGUAGCGUGCAAGGAUGACGGCCCUAUGGGUUGUAAACUGCUUUUGUGCGGGAAUAAAGUAUGGGACGUGUCCCAUUUUGCAUGUACCGCACGAAUAAGGACCGGCUAAUUCCGUGCCAGCCGCAGC